GACGAACGCUGGCGGCGUGCUUAACGCAUGCAAGUCGAACGGAAAGGCCCUGCUUUUGUGGGGUGCUCGAGUGGCGAACGGGUGAGUAACACGUGAGUAACCUGCCCUUGACUUUGGGAUAACUUCAGGAAACUGGGGCUAAUACCGGAUAGGAGCUCCUGCUGCAUGGUGGGGGUUGGAAAGUUUCGGCGGUUGGGGAUGGACUCGCGGCUUAUCAGCUUGUUGGUGGGGUAGUGGCUUACCAAGGCUUUGACGGGUAGCCGGCCUGAGAGGGUGACCGGCCACAUUGGGGCUGAGAUACGGCCCAGACUCCUACGGGAGGCAGCAGUGGGGAAUAUUGCACAAUGGGCGGAAGCCUGAUGCAGCAACGCCGCGUGCGGGAUGACGGCCUUCGGGUUGUAAACCGCUUUCGCCUGUGACGAAGCGUGAGUGACGGUAAUGGGUAAAGAAGCACCGGCUAACUACGUG
rnacentral:rRNA from 1 species